GUCAGUGUGGCAUAAUGGUUUGAGUGUUGGACUACAACUCUGGAGACCAGGGUUUGAUUCCCUGCUCAGCCA